rnacentral:rRNA from 1 species
GAUGAACGCUGGCGGUGUGCCUAAUACAUGCAAGUCGAGCGAACGGACGAGAAACUUGCUUCUCUGAUGUUAGCGGCGGACGGGUGAGUAACACGUGGAUAACCUACCUAUAAGACCGGGAUAACUUCGGGAAACCGUAGCUAAUACCGGAUAAUAUUUUGAGCCUCAUGGUUCAAAAGUGAAAGACGGUCUUGCCGUCACUUAUAGAUGGAUCCGCGCUGCAUUAGCUAGUUGGUAAGGUAACGGCUUACCAAGGCAACGAUGCAUAGCUCACCUGAGAGGAAGAAAAAGCAAACUAUGACUGAGACAAGUUCCAGACUCGUACCGAAAGAAUCGAUCGGCAAUCUUACACAAUAGGCGAAGGCCUGACCCAGGAAGCCGUUGUGAAUCAUGAUGGUCUUCGGAUCGGAGAACACAAUUAUUAGUGAGAAACAUCUGUGUAAGUAGCUGUGCACACAAUGACGGUACCUGGGCAAAGAGGCACGGCUAACUACGUA